CAGAGUCUGGAGACGCCAUGGAGAACGUUCUGCUGCCUGCAACAUCCUCCAGCAUGACCGGUUUGGCAGUGGGUCAGUAAUAGUGUGGGGUGGCAUUUCUUUGGGGGGCCGCACAGCCCUCCAUGUGCUUGCCAGAGGUAGCCUGACUGCCAUUAGGUACCGAGAUGAGAUCCUCAGACCCCUUGUGAGACCAUAUGUGGUGCGGUUGGCCCUGGGUUCCUCCUAAUGCAAGACAAUGCUAGACCUCAUGUGGC